rnacentral:miRNA from 1 species
AGGUCUGGAUAGUUGCAAUCUU